rnacentral:miRNA from 1 species
GGGGGGAACUUUACUCAGUUUGAUU